rnacentral:rRNA from 1 species
GUCUAUGGCCACGCUACCCUGAACAAGCCCAAUCCCACCUGAUCUCGGAAGCUAAGCAGGGUCGGGCCUGGUUAGGACUUGGAUGGGAGACCACCUAGGAAGACCAGGUGCUAUAGGCG